UUUAAUCUUUUCAAUUCAUGACUCUAUUCCUUCACUAUCCAUUUAGAUUCAUUCCUUCAUUGUAUCAUUUAAUUUAGCUGAAGUCAGUUAGCAUUUAGAUUUUCUUUAGCAUUUACUUUUGUGAAUAUAUUUUGGAUUGUUCCAGUUUUAGUAUAUAGGUUUUUUUUUUUAACUUCUUUUAUUUAAAUAGGUUUUGUUUUUAAUUUGAUUAUUUACCUUUUAAAUUUCAAUUUCAUUUUCUUUUUACUGUCCCCACCUAGUAUUAGUAGUUAAUAAUUAGUAAAUAAAAACAAGAUCUUAACCAUACAUUUUAAACUUAACUGCGCCGAGUCCAUAGAUUGAUAUUCUGGUUACCCUAUGCUACAUUAGUGGGGACCGGUUCUUUGUUCUGCCUUGGGCGACUAAAAGGCAAUUUCACAAAUGGCGCCGUUGCCGGGGACUUGGCAAGUUAAGUCUUAGAGUGUUAGGUUAGUCUUAUUUAGGUUUGUUUCUUGAUUAUACUUCUAUUUUAUGUUAAUAUCUGUUUCUUUAUAGUGUAGGAUUUGUUUCUUAAGCUGUAACAGUGUAAAUAUUCAUUCUUUGUGUUGUUUUAGUCAUUGAAUUUUAAUUCUGGAAGUUGUCCUGGUUUUAUUUUUCUUGUUUCUUUGUGCUUGAUUGGCACUUUUACUGAGAAGGUUUAGGCUGAGUGUGUUCUGCCAAACCUUGGGGAAUUAGUGAAAUUUGUUUGGGAUAGUUUUAGUGGC
rnacentral:lncRNA from 1 species